AGUGAUCAAAUUCAUCCCUGAACCAAAGAUCUGUCAACUAUCAAAAUUAACCAGUACCCACGAGUCCAAACCCAAACACACGAAGUUGCAAAAUUAAGAGAAGGAAAAUACCCCAAGUUCUUCAACAAGAACAAGACAAAUAAAACAAAGAAAAAUUAGAAGACCCGCGAGCUCGAAAACAAUCAAGAUGAUGCAAGACAAAGUGAAAUAUGGAAGUGGCAAAGACCCAGAUAAGGAAUCUUCAAGAGAUAACUAUUCUUCAAAAGUUCAGUGCCAAGAUAGGAAAAACUAAAUCACAAAAGAAGGAGAAAAUCGAAAACCCACAUGGAAUCCUAAUCGGUUUGGGUGGACUCGAAGUUGAUUCAAACGGAAGGGAGCCGCUGAAUGGAUGGUAGGAAUGGGGGAAGUGUUGUGGAAAGCAAAGAAGAAGACAAUUGGUUUUCUUUCUCUUUGGAACUGCAUUGGAAUGGGGUCCACAGUUAGAGCCUUACAGGGACCCAGCGAAAUUAAGAAGAUUUAGACGGUUGUGAUUGAGGCGGGCAGUCUAUUUUGGCGGAAAAAAGGCGUAGGCGGCAGCUUCACCAAAGAUUCUCAUCUGAGUGUUUUUAUAAAAAAUAGAGAAGAGAAGAGAAUCUCCACUCUCCAGUACAUGCUACUUUGCAU
rnacentral:misc_RNA from 1 species